UGCUGAGGUUGGCAGAGUCCUCUGAGUUCCUCUAACUUAAUCCCUGCCCAAGCAGGGACACCCAGAGCAGGGUGCCCAGGACAAAGUUCAGGCAGUUUUUGAAGUUCUUCAAGAAGGAGAUUCCACAGCCUCUCUGGGGCCGGAUGUGGAGAAGGAAUCUUACAGUUCAUAAACAAGAUCAUAAAAGAACAACUUGCUUUGUUACCACUUCUACUGAGGCUGUGAAACACGAGUUACUGCAAAUACUACACUGCAGCUUGUGUCCAUGAGGCUCAGGAGAAUGAGAUGCUGUGCUGCAAACAACUCAGAAGCAGGUACGAAAGUUUGUAUUGAAACAAGAAGCAAACCUCUCCCAGAGCAGGAAAGGAGAAGAAGGAGGGGAGAAAAUGAGCUGCCUCAGUAAUAUACCUCCUCUGACAAAGCUGAAAGUGCCUGGCUAUUUCUCAGCAAAUGAAAAAAAGUCUAAAGGAAUGAGGACUUGUGUGGCCUCCCCCAACCAAAAAAAUAAAAAAAGAGGAAAUUAGACUGUAAACUAUUCCUGAGGUGGAAGAAACACCAACAUGAAUUCUUGACAGAAAAAAAAAGUCCUUGUGCUGCUCCUCUGCCCCAUUUUGCAACUGUGCUAUCCUGGCAAAGACUUUUGGAUUAAAUCUACAGAUUACACUGGACCUGACUUCACUCAGAGACUGAAAUACGUGCCGCUCUCUUGAUGAGCAGAUACAUUACAUUCAAUCUAUCUAGCAGUUUUUGUCCUGCACAAGCCAAAUCUCCUUUCAACAUCAAUAUUAUUUAUUAGCUCAUGAGCUUUCCUCAUCACCAGGAGAUCUGAGAGCCUCUACAGACACUAGUGAGCCUAUUCUCAUACUGGGUGAGAGAGUGCUGGGGAAGUCAGAAGGAACCUGAAAUUUCAUGGAUGCCCAGUAACAGAUGUCUAGAACCUGUAUUCAAAGUAUGUCCAUACGAAAUGUUUAGUAAAGGUGAUUUACUCAGCAUCACUUAUCCCACUGUACAAAGAACACUGUCAUUUUAUGUGAUGAAAGUACUUAUUUACAAUGCUCUCCAGACAUACUCACAGUUCAUUAGAAGUCUAAUUGGAGGUAGGGGUCUUCUGUUUUAUCCCAUCUUUGGAAAGGCACUUGGAUAAAAAUGAGCUAAGAAAACAUGCAUGAGCUUUACAAAACAAAGUAACAAGGAACUGAUUUUAAUUACAUAUAGUACCCUUGAUUUUCUUAUUUAUGCAUCUCAAGCCACUACUCCUCCCCAUUAUUACAUUUCCAGGUCUCAAUGUUUUCAUUCAAAGUUUUGAGUGCUUCUGAAAACUCAGACCAGCCCCCACCUCCCCAGCUUUAGUGAUGCUGGGGAGCACAGACAUGUGGUGUGGUGCCACCUCAGCUGUGAAUAGUUAACACUGUUAUAGUUCAAAACUUCAGCCAGGAAUGCUACCUGUGAGGGCAGAGUGCCUUGGGACAGAAAGUCCUUGGCAGGAGCUAAACCGUAAUGAGCUUAAAAUGUACUGAGGAGUUCGGCAAAUACAAAGCCAGGUCACAGAAUAGGUAGCUGCAGAAAUUUUCCUAUGUGUAAUGUUUAUAAGACAAUUAUUUACAUUAUCUGGAUGGUUUUAAUUGCAGGACAGUUCAGACCAGUUUCUUUAAGUUUUCCCAAGGGGUAAUUAGUCACCCUGUGAAUUUGCAUAUUUUCCAUUGCUCUAUCGAAGCAAAUCAGCUAUACUUAUUGGAAGAUUGACCUGGCAACCUCUGUUCUUAGCAGAUUAUAGUCUGAGUUUCAUCAUGACGUCAGCUAGUAUAUUAGCAAAUGUUCUGGUCUGUACUUCUAGAGCAAGUAAACUUUGGGCUCUUCAUUUAAAAUGUGAGAAAUUUUGAGACAUGGUAAAAAGGGGUAUCUUAUUCAUAGGGGAAAGUAGCAAUGAACUACUGCCCUACAGAUGUUCACAUGUUCACUCUAUCAUCUCCUAAAACACAGUUUGCACAAGGGAAUAAGAUAGAGUGCUAGCCUGGAGCAAAAGUCACUUCUCCAUACCAGUUCUGCAGGAUUCUACAUACCAGGUUCAGCUGAUCCUGCUGGAAUUCCUUGCUGAGCCAAAUUUUGGCUCCUACAGACCAUCUGUGCACUGCAAAGACCCUGGCUCCUUGCCUGUCUGCUACAUUGCCUCCCAAAGUACUCACAAACCAUGCAGCAGUAAGUUCCAAAUUAGUUCAUAUACGUACCAAUAAAUUCAUCUGUACAAGUUAUGCCUUGUUUUUUAAAAUAUUAUCCAAACUAAAUUUAUAUCCAAGCAAUAAUACACAAGAAGUAGCUUGCAGAUCUUUGGGGUUAAAAUGGGAAUGAAUGACCUUGAGAAGACGUUCUUUGGAGGGAGAGAGGCAAUCCAGUAGUGGAACUUAAUCUGAAUCACAUUAAUUCAAUACUACAGGUGAACAACCUUUAGUGUAACAACAGCCUGACAACAAAAGCUAGAUAUUUACACCGAUGCUCUAAUUGUUAGUCUAUUUCUUUAGAUUUGCAUCAUGUACCCAGUUUUCAAACAGGAGAACAAUUGUUUACUGUAGGUGUCCUUUUAUGAAUCAUCAACAGUGAGUGAAGAUGUACUCUUACUGCAAUCAUUUAAUAAUUAAUUAGUAAUAGGGACAUACAUGUUUAAGUGUUUUGCAUGUCGUACCUUCUGUUCUUGUUUAACAGAGACAUUUCACAGCUUGUGAAUGCUGUGCAGAUAAUAUUUUCUUCUCUUUAAAAUAAAGGAAUAAGAUGACUAUUUCAAUGUGCCUAGUGAAAUAUGACCUUUUACUGAAAAUAUCAAGAGUGCACAGAGCUCUCAAGAGUUUCAGUUUUCUGCUACAGGCAGCAGAGUGAC
ensembl:lncRNA